rnacentral:lncRNA from 1 species
AUAUUUCAAACCAAAUAAUUAUCGCCAUUAAAAGCUCAAAAUCAUCAAGCUCAUUUGUUGCUAAUAAUUUAGUUUCACUUCUUAUUUUAGAAUCAAGAUUCUUUUCUGACACUUCAAGUAAAACUUCUCUAAAAUUUGACACUUAAAUUUAAUAGCUUUGGCACUACCUACACGACUUUCCCAAAGGGUGGAUGACAAUGAUUUUGGAGUCAACCAUUUUGCAUUAUCUUUCAAAAUUUACCAUCUCUUAGUAUA